rnacentral:rRNA from 1 species
CUACGGGAUGCACCAGUGGGGAAUAUUGCACAAUGGGCGCAAGCCUGAUGCAGCCAUGCCGCGUGUAUGAAGAAGGCCUUCGGGUUGUAAAGUACUUUCAGCGGGGAGGAAGGGAGUAAAGUUAAUACCUUUGCUCAUUGACGUUACCCGCAGAAGAAGCACCGGCUAACUCCGUGCCAGCAGCCGCGGUAAUACGGAGGGUGCAAGCGUUAAUCGGAAUUACUGGGCGUAAAGCGCACGCAGGCGGUUUGUUAAGGCAGAUGUGAAAUCCCCGGGCUCUACCUGGGAACUGCAUCUGAUACUGGCAAGCUUGAGUCUCGUAGAGGGGGGUAGAAUUCCAGGUGUAGCGGUGAAAUGCGUAGAGAUCUGGAGGAAUACCGGUGGCGAAGGCGGCCCCCUGGACGAAGACUGACGCUCAGGUGCGAAAGCGUGGGGAGCAAACAGGAUUAGAUACCCUCGUAGUC